rnacentral:rRNA from 1 species
UUUGACAGAAUUCUUCGGAAGGAAGUUGAUUAAGUUUAGUGGCGGACGGGUGAGUAACGCGUGAGUAACCUGCCUUUGAGAGGGGAAUAACUUCCCGAAAGGGAUGCUAAUACCGCAUGAAGCAUAUUUAUCGCAUGGUAGAUAUGCCAAAGAUUUAUCGCUCAAAGGUGGACUCGCGUCCGAUUAGCCAGUUGGCGGGGUAACGGCCCACCAAAGCGACGAUCGGUAGCCGGACUGAGAGGUUGAACGGCCACAUUGGGACUGAGACACGGCCCAGACUCC